CAGUCUGUUGUUAUGUUCAUAACACAGGGGUUGCAGGAUUUGCUGAUGUUUUGAUUUGGUUUCUGCGGUUUGAGACACGGCGUUCCAAACUAUAAUGGAAGCAGAUGGAGGAGGAGGAAAAGGGUGGAGGAAGACUGCUGAAGAGAGGCUGCUUGAGAGGAGCUGCCUCGAGACUUCAUUCUUUGUCAAGGAUCACCAGAUUUUGUGCCUGCUGCUCAUGUUGGAGGGUCCAAUGGCUGCUCUUCAUCUACACUCCCAGCAUCAUCCAACAGUAUCUAGCUGAUGGGAGCUCUAAAGCAGUUUCAGAAAGAACCACGAAGCCAGCACUGUGAAUCACUUUAAAAAAACGACUUAAUAGCAGACCGUUGUAAACUUGGAAUUUCUUCGGUUAUAGGGACACUAAUAUACAUAGCCUGUCCUUUAAAACAACAAAACCCAUUAAGGGCCUGAUUAAGAAUAAUUGUGUUCUGCAUUAAAUGCUCUUAUGACAUCAUUUCAACUCUAACUCUAAGAGGCCCAUUUAAAAACUCCACUUGGAAAUAUG